rnacentral:lncRNA from 1 species
UGCACCCACAGCAUAGGGAGGUUCCCAGCUGGGGGUCUAAUCAGAGCUAUAGCUGCUGACCUACACCAUAGCUCAUGGCAACUGGAUCCUGAACACACUGAGCAAGAUCAGAGAUUGAACCCACAACCUCAUGAUUUUGAUGGGAGGACAGAUUCUGAGUGGGAUGGAAAGAGAUACAGUUCACACGUUGGGCUCUAACAUAAAACUGAAGACCGUGGCUUGAUUAGCUAUUUCUUGCCAAUAAUAUGAUCCAAGCCCUUUUGGAUCAUAUUAUUCUAGUCUGUGUGUGCUUAAGUAAUUUAUAUUCAGAGAGAUCUAUAUUUGAAUCUCAGCUUCACUACUUACAAAAUGUGACCGUGACACUGUCCCUAACCUCUCUGAGCUCAAAUAUGGUACUGGCAUAAACAUACACAUAGAUCAAUGGAACAAAAUUGAGAACCCAAAAAUAAACCCAAGUGUACAUGGUCAACCAAUACUUGGCAAAGGAGUCAAGAAUACUCAGAGGAAAAGGUAGUUUCUUUAAUAAUGAAACUGGACCCCUAUCUUACACUGCUCACAAAAAUUACUUUGAAAUGGAUUAAGACUUAAAUGCAAUACUUGAAACUAAAAAAGUCCUAGAAGGAAACAUGGGGGUAAGCUUCUUGACAUUGGUUUUGAUGCAUCAUUUUUUGGAUUUGACACCAAAAGCGCAAGCAACCAAAACAAACAAGUGGAACCAUAUCAAACUAAAAAGCUUCUGCACAGCAAAAGAAAUAAUAAAAUGAAAAGUCAGUGUGCAGAAUGGCAGAAAUAUUUGCAAACCAUAUAUCUGAUAAGGAGUUAAUAUCCAAAAUAUAUGAGAAACACACAACUCAACAGCAAAAAACCAACAAAACAAACUCCCUAAUGAACCCGAUUAAGACAAAGAACCCGAAUAGACAGCUUCCCAAAAUAUAUAUAUAUAAGUUGCCAGCAGGUAUGUAGGAAGUUGCUGAAAAUCACUAAUCAUAAGGGAAAUGCAAAUCAAAGCCACAGUGAGAUAUCACUUCACAGCUUUUAGAAUGGCUACCAUCAAAAAGACAAGAGAUGGGGCAGCCUGGGUCACUGCUGAGGUGCAACUGUGAUCCCCAGCCAAGUGCACUGAGUUAAGGAUCUGGCGCUGCCACAGCUGCAGCGCAGGUUGUAGCUGUGGCUCAGAUCUGAUCACUGGCCUGGGAACUUCCAUAUGCUGUGGAUGUGACCAAAAAAAAAAAAAAGACAAGCGAUAACAAGUGCUAGCAAGGAUGUGGUGGAAAGGAAGCCUUGUAUACUGUUGGCGGGAGUGUAGCCACUAUGGGAAGGAAUACAAAGUUUCCUCAAAAAAAUUAAAAGAACUACCAUAGAAUCCAGUAAUUCCACUUUGGGGUAUAUAUCCAAAGGAAAUGAAAUCCCUCUCUCAAAGAGAUAGCUGUACUCCAUGGUCAAAGCAGCGUUAUUCAUAAUAAACAAAGUCUGGAAACAACCCAAGUGUCUGUCAAUGGAUGAAUAAAUAAAGCAGUGUGAGACAUAGAAAGAAAAAAUGGAAUAUUAUUCAGCCAUAAAAAGGAAGAAAAUCUUGCCAUUUGCAACAACAUGGAUGAACUUUGAGGGUAUUAUGCUGAGUGAAAUAAGUCAGAAAAAUAUAAAUACUGUAUGAUCUCACUUAUAUGUGAAACCUAAAAAUGAACUCAUAGAGAGGUCCCACUGUGGCCUGGUAGUAACAAAGCCAACUAACAUCCAUGAGGGCUCUGGUUCAAUCCCUGGACUUGCUUAGAGAGUUAAGGAUAGGGUGUUGCCAUGAGCUAUGGUGUAGGUCGAAGAAGUGGCUCUGAUCCAGAGUUGCUGUGGCUGUGGUGUAGGCCAGCAGCUGCAGCUCUGAUUCAACCCCUAGCCUGUGAACUUCUACAUGCCAUGGGUGCAGCUCUAAAAAGACAAAUAAUAAUAAUAAUAAUAAUAAUUUAAGAAAAAAAAACCUCAUAGAAACAAAGAGUAGAUUGGUGGUUGCUGGCAGUUGAGGCGGGUAAGCUGGAUGGAUGAAGGUGAUCAAAGGAUACAAGCUUCCAGUUUUGAAAUGAAUGAUUUCUGGGGAUCUAAAGUAUAGCAGGGUGACAACCGUUAACAGUACUGUGUUGUAUACUUGAAAGUUGCUAAGAGUAAAUCUUUACAGUUCUAUACACACACACACACACACACACACAAAGACAAAAGGUAUCUGUGAGGUGAUGGAUGCUUAACCUUAUGGUGAUAAUCAUUUUGAAAUAUACAUAUAAAUCAAAUUAUCACAACAUACACCUUAAACUUAUACAACAUUAUAGGUCAAUUAUAUCACAAUAAAAAUGGGGGGAAAAAAGUCAAGUAAAUAUGAAAAAGGGAAAAAAAAAGGAAACAGAAAUAAUAAUAAGGCAGGAGAGCAGGAGGUCUGUUCCCUAUGCCUGCACCUUUUCUGGGACAAGGGGGCAGAAGCCACAGCACCAGCCCUUCCUCUUCUCUGCCUCAACACAGAUAAGUAUUAGAAUUUAUCUCCUCUAGGAGACCAACGAAUUGCCGCCUCCAGCAGGAACUAGAUUUGCCACUAAUCUCUGAGCCUGUACAUUUUUAUAACUAUUCUGAACAAAUCAUUGAAUUAAUUUCCUUUUUAUUUCCUUAUGAGAAAACUAAAUUACUAAUAUUGCGAAAAUGUUCUCCCUCACUGGAAAAUUCCCCUGAUGCUAGUGUUUGGGUUUAUAUGACUCCAUUUGGAGUUGGUUUUAGGAGACAUGAUUUUUUCAAAGGAACUAUUCAGUACUAAAUUUGGUCUAAGCAUUCUACUCUCUGUAGGCCAAUACAAGCGUGUUUUCUUUCAUUCCUGAGUUCUUCCUCUCCUCUUUUAUUCACCCUCUGCUUCUUUCUGUUCAACACUUUUCAUCUUAAAAAAAAAUGUUUGCAGGAGUUCCCUGGUGGCCUAGAGAUUAGGGAUCCAGCAGCAUUGUCACUGCUUGGCUCUGGUACAACCCUGGCCAGGGAACUUUUAUAUGCGGACUCAGAUGGGUUAUUUGGAGUUUACUCCCAGCAUCAUACAGAAAGCCCACUUUUACAAACAGCCUCUGGCUUUACAGUCUUCACUGAGCACAGGUUCCAGGAGACCCAGCUUGAAAACAUUUACAAGCAUCUCACGCCCCCGCCUCCACCCCCGUCCUGGUCUGGUGGGGCUGCCAUAACACAAUACCACAGACCGUGUGGUUUAAACAACAGGAGUUUAUGUUCUCAGAGUUCUGGAGACCAGGCAGGACAAGAUCAAGGUGCCAGUUUCUGCUGGGAGCUCUCUCCUGGCUUGCAGAUGGCUGCCUUCGUGCUGAGAUCUCCCACAGGGAGGAGGGAAAGAGAGCCAGUUCUCUGCUAUUGCUUCUGACCAGGACACUCAUCCUCUUGGAAGUCUCACUUAUGAGCUCACUUAACCUUCAUGGCUUCCUCAGGCCAAAUGUAGUCACAGUGGGGAUUAGGGCAUCAACACAUGAUUUGGGGGGGGGGGCGCAAUUCUGCCUACAGCACCUCCCCCCAAAAUUAUUAAGUUCAGAUGGAGAAAAACCCACAACAUCUAGUCGUAUAACAAAUAUAUGUAUCAUAUGAGUCUUAAGUUUGAACUGAACACCUAUUAUGUGCCCUGCACUUUGCUAGGAAGGCAAAAUAGGAAACAGGCUAGUUAUGGUUGACAGACCUGACUUCUUUCUGCAUUGACGGACAGGUGGAUGUCUCAGAGUGGUAUGAACAGGGCUUGCAGGGGACCAGUUGGGUAUCCCUAUCCUGAGGCUUCUGAUACUGGGUGUCAUGGCUAGUGGCUGUCAUCUUCGCCAUCUGGGAAUUAUUCCCAUUGCAUUUAAGACUCCUCCUCAAAACCAGCGAGAGACCACUGUGCAGCCAUCUUCCUCAUGAAGCCACACUGAGAUAACGCCUGUAAAGAAUAAUGGACUUGACUAUGUUCACACCUUCCCAUUAUGUUCACAGACGGCCUUGGUUCCUCUCACAUUUUCAAAUUACACCAGGAGAAUGAUCACCUCGCUCAGCCUCCUCAUAGCAAAACCCUUUUGCACUGGUCUACGUACAGUAGGAAAGCAAUAAAUGCCUGUUGGCUGAAACCAUUAGGCUCCCAGGCCGAACAAAGGAACGCAUCCUCAAACUGAAACUGUUUCUCCCUCCUGAUUGCUGCCCCCCCACGCCCCCCGCCCACAGCCAGCCCGAGCAGAUGGCUCACACAUUUCAGCCGCCGCACACACCUUCUCUGCAAGAAGUCCCCUUCCAUUCCCUCGGGGACAUCUCAACACACAGCAGCAAGUGCAGUCUAGGCAGAUCCGGGUCCAACCUUGGUUCUGCUCAGAAGCCGUCCCACCAUCACAUCCGCCACCUCCUCACUGGUACACAGCUCAUCAGAGCACCUGCCUACCGACGGAGAAGCCACUGGUCUCUCCAGGGUUUGGAAAAAUGAACAGUAGCUGCUCUUUUUUCGCUCUAAAAUUAAAUUCCCCAUCUUUUAAUUUUUGUGCUGAUCAUAAAUCAGUUGCUUUCUGUUAUUACCUUCUGUUGCGUUUAAUUUUUAUUUAUCAAAUGAGAGAUGCUUUCAAUUUUAAUUCCCUAACGACCGCUUUUUCCUCUCAGCUAGCUCUCUGCACGGUCCCUCCCUGCUUCCCCCUCCCCACUGGUUUGUUCUCUGUAUUUGCGUCCACUUCUUUUUUUGUUUCAUUCUCUAGCUGACUGUAUUUUUCAGAUUCCAAUAUAAGUGAUAUCAUACAGUAUUUGUAGUUCUCCAUCUGACUCAGCAGCUUCUUAUUUCAAAAAUAUUGGGGACUCCUGGUCAACUAGUCAUGUUGAAACAUGCUUCGACAGAGCCUCUGCAGCGGCCCUCCCCCGACAGCCCUCCCCCCACAUCCUCUGCUUGAGCUCCCCUCUGAGAUACCUACAUAGCAGGAUCUGAUGCACAGUUCCUGAGUUGUAUAAAUGUGAACCCUGCCCCCCACCCUCCAAAUGGAAACAUUAACAAUUUGUCCAGGAGCACACAGCCCCCAGGGCUCCCGGAGCCUCAGAACUGAUGACGUCAACCCCUCUGACACCGCCCUAUGACCUCACCAUCAGCCAAUCAGAGAACUGCGCAGGAGCGGAUCCCUUCCCCUGUGAACGUCCUCCCUCACCUGCCUCUUAAAAAUGUUUUACAGCGAGUGCCCCCCGUGGCUCAGUGGUUAAUGAAUCUGACUGGGAUCCAUGAGGAGGCAGGUUCGAUCCCUGGCCUCACUCCUUGGGUUAAGGAUCCAGCGUUGCCGUGAGCUGUGGUGUAGGUGGCAGACGCGGCUCGGAUCCCACGUUGCAGUUGCUGUGGUGUAGGC